rnacentral:rRNA from 1 species
GAUGAACGCUAGCUACAGGCUUAACACAUGCAAGUCGAGGGACCGGCGCACGGGUGAGUAACACGUAUCAAACCUGCCCUUUACUCGGGGAUAGCCUUUCGAAAGAAAGAUUAAUACCCGAUAUAAAGGAUGGGGAUGCGUUCCAUUAGGUUGUUGGGGAGGUAACGGCUCAGCAAGCCUUCGAUGGAUAGGGGUGCUGAGAGGAAGGUACCCCAGAUUGGAACUGAGGCACGGGCCAACCUCGUACGGGGGGCAGCGGUGAGGAAUAUUGGUCAAUGGGCGCUAGCCUGAACCAGCCAAGUAGCGUGAAGGAUGAAGGCUUAUGGGUCGUAAUCUACUUUUAUAUAAGAAUAUUUAUUAUAUGAAUAAGGAUCGGCUAACUCCGUGCCAGCCGCCGCGGUAAUAC